rnacentral:lncRNA from 1 species
GCAUAAAUCUGAGAAACGUGAGUUUUGUCUUCAUUGUUUAUCUAGACAUAGGAUAGGUUGUGUGAAAAUAUUACUGAUGUUUAACGUUAAAAAUGGACCAAAAGAUUAAUGCUAAACAACAUUUGACAUGUUUGAACGAACAUAAAUAGAUUAUUUACUAGGUUUUUUUAGCUUUUCGGGCGUGAUUUUACAGUCCCCCCACCACGUUUUGUGGGAGCAUAAAGAACGCUAAGUACUUGGUGUUAUUUGGACAUAAAUUAUGAACUUUGUCAAAAGAAACCACAUUUGUUCCGGACCUGGGAUGGCUUCCGGACCUGGGAUGCCUGCCUUCUGAUGGAGAUAAUCAAAGUCACCAGAUCUCAACCCAGUUGAACUGUUUCUGGAGCGGUGCCUGAGACAGCAUUUUCCACCACCAUCAACAAAACAUCAAAUUAUGGAAUUUCACGUAGAAGAAUGGUGUCUCAUCCCUCCAAUAGAGUUCUAGACAUUCCAAGGCUGAACAUGAUUGUCUUUUUCUCUCUCUCCCUCUAUCUGCUCUGUCUGUCUGUCUCUCUGUCUCUCUUUCUCUGUACCUGCCCCCCCCCUCUCUCUAUCUAUCUUUCACUCUCUGUCUUUCUGGAAGUGCAGUUAAGUGGAGAGGAAGUUCAGCAACUCUUGGAGGACAUUCUGAAUGGACCACCGAGACAGAGACGGGAUGACAAUGUCAACUUGGUCUCUCUGAUUAAAGUAGCUCCUUGAUAUUAAGUGGUGGCGGUAAAACCUCUUUCCCAGAAAGCUUCAUAUUCAUUCAUUAUGUAAUCCCAAUUUGGAUGUUUUUUCUCUCUUUGAUAUAAAUAGUUAAUUUUUCAUUUGUUUUGUAAAGCCCUAUGGAUUCCAUAUGAACUUUGAUAAUUCAGUAAUGCAUAUUUUGCCAAUGUAAUUGCCUCAAGUAAGUUUGUUUCAAAACUAUUCUGAUAAACUGUACUUCACUCUUGGCGGAGAUCUUUGUGGGCUAUACUCGGCCUUGUCUUAGGACGGUAAGUUGGUGGUUGGAGACAUCCCUCUAGUGGUGUGGGGGCUGUGCUUUGGCAAAGUGGGUGGGGUUAUAUCCUGCCUGUUUGGCCCUGUCCGGGGGUAUCAUCGGAUGGGGCCACAGUGUCUUCUGAUCCCUCCUGUCUCAGCCUCCAGUAUUUAUGCUGCAGUAGUUUAUGUGUCGGGGGGCUAGGGUCAGUCUGUUACAUCUGGUGUAUUUCUCUUGUCUUAUCCGGUGUUCUGUGUGAAUUUAAAUAUGCUCUCUCUAAUUCUCUCUUUCUCUCAGAGGACCUGAGCCCUAGGACCAUGCCUCAGGACUACCUGGCAUGAUGACUCAUUGCUCUUCCCAGUCCACCUGGCUGCUCCAGUUUCAACUGUUCUGCCUGCGGCUAUGGAACCCUGACCUGUUCACCGGACGUACUUGUUGCACCCUCGACAACUACUAUGAUUAUUAUUAUUUGACCAUGCUGGUUAUUUAUGAACAUUUUAACAUCUUGACCAUGUUCUGUUAUAAUAUCCACCCGGCACAGCCAGAAGAGGACUGGCCACCCCUCAUAGCCUGGUUCCUCUCUAGGUUUCUUCCUAGGUUUUUGGCCUUUCUAGGGAGUUUUUCCUAGCCACCGUGCUUCUUUCACAUGCAUUGCUUGCUGUUUGGGGUUUUAGGCUGGGUUUCUGUACAGCACUUUGAGAUAUCAGCUGAUGUACGAAGGGCUAUAUAAAUACAUUUGAUUUGAUUUAGUGAAUGCGUACAUUCCUUGCAUUUUUUUUUUUGUACUGGCCCCCCGUGGGAAUUGAACCCACAACCCUGGCGUUGCACACACCAUGCUGGCAUUGCAAACAACAUUCUCUACCAACUGAGCUACAGGGAAGACCAUGUCACUGAUGGAGUGCUGAGGUUUAGAGGGUCUACACUAGAAGUUCAUGGUUAUAGGAGGAAGGUAUAUAGUGUGUGCAAUUAAGCUUGGAAUGUGCUGAGUGCAGGGAAGCAAUUGCAUGUGGCAGGCAUUGAUAAGAGGAGAGAGCCAUGGAUUAGUGAUUGAGGGGGGUUGAGGUCAGGUCAGGUCACCUUAAGGGAGAAAUAAAAGUUUAUGGCCCGUAUCACUGGUGUCCUGCCUAGCAGUAAACAACGAUGUUUGCACAGAUGGGUAGGAGGAGACUCAGUCAAUGAGGAAUGGUUAAAUAUCAGUGCUUGUGUGAAAAUGUUUUUGUCUAAUACAGCUGUAUUGAUCCUCUUGUUAAGCUUUCAUAAUGUCUGUUGAGUUUUUACUCUGAGAAUUAGAACCUAACAACGCGAAUGAAUAAUCUAUCUUCGAUGUCAAGCUUUCACUUUCUCAGAAAAAACAGGAUUCAUGUGAAAACAACACGACAGAACACACACCUUCCUUACACACCGCCCAGAAGUGGGAAACUAACCGAAUACAGAUUAAAGCACAAGUUGCUCUUUAACAUAAACUACAGAGGGGACCUGAUGACACAAACACGCUGGGUUUGGGAAUGACUUGAGCACGUGUGCAUCAGUCAUGGCAUUUUUAUACUGCCAUCACAUUGGGUGUACUGUAGUUAGUAGGACAGCAUCACUGAGAGAUAGUCAGAUUGAUUUUUCAAAAGGCUGCAGUGGUCUUUGAUAUUGAGUAUGGCAUGGAACCGAGGCAGCAGCAGCGAUACCGUUAACACUACCUUUCCGAAUAACAGGGAAAAAUAACACCAUAUCCUUGUUUACUGAGAAGACUGGAGAAGUAUCAAGGGUGUCGUGUGUAUACAGCGUUCACCUUCAAAGAUCAGUCUGGACGUUGCGUGCUUUCAGAGUUCAGAAAGGAAACACCACGUGCACAAUUAACCAUUUAUUAGAAAAGAUUACAUUAGUCUUGGAGUUAGACUCUGCUCCUUCAGGGUAGCUUACUGACAGAG